UCAGAUCAGAUGUGACACCUGGGAAGGAAAGAGCCAGGAGGAGCCACCAUUGUCCUGCAGAUGCGACAGAGGCCCGACCAGCCCAGCGGAGAGGUCUAGAGCAAAAACGUUACCAUCGGUGGCUCUAUUGCCGGACUGCAGACGGCAGCAGCGCCUCCUGUCCGCUCACGCAGCCCCUCCCCGCUGAAUGGCAAGCUGUUCCUGGGAGGACCUGCGCAAGCACUGUCCCCACCACAGAGAGGGAGGCCACCGGCACCAGAUGAUGGUCAUGCAAGCACGGAAAAGGAGUUCACUGCGCUCCAUCCGAUGUCACUGAAGUUAUUGGCAACGGGAAUGGAGUGGACUGCAUGGCCUCUAACAUUUCCUACUUCCUAUGCCUACUGGUCGGCUGUGCCACAGAGAGACCAUAGCAGUGGGAAACACCUUUACUACGGAAGUCGCUUCGAAUAUAAUCAUGUCAUAUUUUACAGACUGUUUUCUUUUAUCAACCCCACUUCAUGUCAUGUUUUACUUUAUGUUAUUGGAAGACAUGAAGACAAAGACAUAAAAAUGCACCUUUGGGCCUUUGUGACUUCACCAUUGGACUACAUACAAAUGUCUAUGUAACAGUAUUUCUUAAUAUGAGUUUGGCCCCCACUAAAUCAUUUUCACCCCCUGUGCCACAUUCUUUAUCAGUAGCAUUCUUGUUCCUUUGAUGAAGGGCAGAGGUCAAGGUGAAUUUCAUUUUUCACUUAACUAGAAACUUUAACGUGACGUGACAUUUUUCAUUUACACCUGUCAUUGGAAACUAUAAACCCAACACUUAAAUGGAGCAGUUGUGGCAUCACCUGUGGCAUCAAGCUAAAAGAUAUCAUCAGAAGCAGCUUGCCAUUUUCAAGGGUCCAGAAAGGCACUCAAACACUUUUGUUUUUGCUCUAAUACGAUUUUCUUUUGAGCUUGACAUAUGUACUACAGAUAAAAUCUUGUAUAACUUGAUAUUUUCCUUUGGACUAUAACCUCUAGGUGACAGUCAAUAUUACUGAAUAAAUGAUUCCAUACAGGAA